ensembl:snRNA U6 U6 spliceosomal RNA
GUAUUUGCUUCAGUAGUACAUAUCGUAAAAUUGGAAUAAUACAAAGAAAAUUGGCAUGGCCCCUGCACAAGGAUGGCAUGUAAAUUUGUAAAGUGUCCCACUUUUUU